rnacentral:rRNA from 1 species
UGGGGAAUUUUGCACAAUGGGGGAAACCCUGAUGCAGCGACGCCGCGUGAUUUAGAAGGCAUUCGGGUUGUAAAAAUCUUUUCUAUGGGAAGAAAAUGACAGUACCAUAGGAAUAAGGACCGGCUAAGUACGUGCCAGCAGCCGCGGUAAUACGUAAGGUCCGAGCGUUGUCCGGAAUCAUUGGGCGUAAAGGGUACGUAGGCGGGUAAGCAAGUUAGAAGUGAAAUCCUAUAGCUCAACUAUAGUAAGCUUUUAAAACUGCUCAUCUUGAGGUAUGGAAGGGAAAGUGGAAUUCCUAGUGUAGCGGUGAAAUGCGCAGAUAUUAGGAGGAAUACCGGUGGCGAAGGCGACUUUCUGGCCAUAACCUGACGCUGAGGUACGAAAGCGUGGGUAGCAAACAGG